UAAUACAGAGGGUGCAAGCGUUAAUCGGAAUGACUGGGCGUAAAGGGCUUGUAGGCGGAUAGAUAAGUUAUAGGUGAAAUCCUCGGGCUUAACCUGAGAAGGUCCUGUAAAACUGGCUAUCUGGAAUAGAGUAGAGGUAAGUGGAAUUUCCGGUGUAGCGGUGAAAUGCGUAGAUAUCGGAAAGAACAUCAGUGGCGAAGGCGACUUACUGGACUCAUAUUGACGCUGAGAAGCGAAAGCGUGGGGAGCAAACAGG
rnacentral:rRNA from 1 species